AGAAGUGACGGAGAUCGGGCUCCAUCAUUUGUCACCCCACUAACUGUCAGGGUUUACUCCCAUAAUCUAGCUGGCUGGGCUUUUUUCCUUCCUCACUUUACAGCGCCAAGUGUGUUCUUCCUGAAGCUGCACACUUUCUUUGACCUUUCUUUGCUCAAGCAUAAAUCCAUAGCUGCGCUCUCCAGGUAUAUACCUCAAACAAGCUCUCGAGGUCCAAACGAGUACAAGUAUCAGUAUGCCUGUAGUUACUGAAGGUAGAGCUCUUGGGAGUGUAAAUC
ensembl:misc_RNA 7SK 7SK RNA